rnacentral:lncRNA from 1 species
ACUGCGUGCUGCCAUAAGAUGGAUGCUCACAUCUGCAUGCUGCCGAGGGGAGAAACUGAGGCCCAGAGCACAGAAGAAAGGCUUUGGAGCUCAGCAAACCAAUGAUGGACACCAGAAGAAAUUGGCUGAGAUCUGAAAGGCUGGGUGGUAUCUGCGUUGGGACUUGUCAGAUGGUGGAGGAAGAUGAGAGAGACCACAGUAUGCAAGGUCACUGUGGUUUGCCAUGAAGCCUCUUGGAGACUUCUCGGAGCCUUCUCAAACCCUGGAUAAUGGCUUCCUGCCUGCCGCCUGUCCUGUCGAUGUGCCAUCGUCGUGUCUUCCCACACCUCUGGCCAGCUGCAAAUGCUCCUGCCUUGAAAGGUCCCGGAGAUCGGUGCAUUUCCUCCCCACAUCUCUUCAUGAAAAUGCAACAUGAAGCUACUUUUUCAGCUCAGCCUCCCCUCCCGGUCCUUUGUUGCCGUUAAAAGUUCUCAGAUGCCUCUCUUUUGUUUUGGAUACAGGCUACUCUGCCGCCACACCCCCAGCCUCUCCCUGGUGUUUCUCCCAUAUUGACAAUUACAUUUUGGGGAGUAGGCUACUUUCUUGACACAGUGAUAAUGAUAGUGAUAAUAAUAUUAAAAAUUAUACUAGCUGAUAUUUGAGUGUUAACUGCAUGUCAAACACUGAACUGUGGGCUUUCCCUCAUUUACUCUGCACGAUCAUCCUGGGAGGCAAGGACUAUCACUAAGGAGGAAACAGAGGCUAACAGAGCUUAAGUGGGUGUCCUGGGCCUGUCCAGCGAGUGGCUGAGACCGGAUAUAACACUAGGCAGCCUUUGUCAGCCUGUAUUCUCAAUCUUCUUACACCAGAACAGAUGGUGGUCAGCCAGGGACCUGUUCGAGGCCAAGGGGCAAUUAAUGUUAGAAACUGUUCAUGUAUUAUUAUUUUUUUUCAAGAAAAAAACAAGUUAUUCCAGGACUUGGAUAGUAACAUGGCAAAC